rnacentral:misc_RNA from 1 species
GAAAUGCGAUAAGUAAUGUGAAUUGCAGAAUUCAGUGAAUCAUCGAAUCUUUGAACGCAUAUUGCGCCCGCCAGCACUCUGGCGGGCAUGCCUGUCCGAGCGUCAUUUCAACCAUCAAGCCCCCGGGCUUGUGUUGGGGACCUGCGGCUGCCCGCAGGCCCUGAAAACCAGUGGCGGGCUCGCUGUCACACCGAGCGUAGUAGCAAUCACCUCGCUCAGGGCGUGCUGCGGGUUCCGGCCGUUAAACAGCCUUACAAAACCCAAGGUUGACCUCGGAUCAGGUAGGAAGACCCGCUGAACUUAAGC